rfam:Ovis aries breed Texel chromosome 2, whole genome shotgun sequence.
UCCCUGGUAGCUCAGACAGUAAAGCAUCUGCCUGCAAUGCUGAAGACCUGGGUUCAAUCCCUGGGUUGGGGAA